CACGUAGGGCGCGAGCGUUGUCCGGAAUUAUUGGGCGUAAAGAGCUCGUAGGCGGCCUGUUGCGUCCGCUGUGAAAGCCCGGGGCUUAACCCCGGGUCGGCAGUGGAUACGGGCAGGCUAGAGGUAGGUAGGGGAGAAUGGAAUUCCCGGUGUAGCGGUGAAAUGCGCAGAUAUCGGGAGGAACACCGGUGGCGAAGGCGGUUCUCUGGGCAUUACCUGACGCUGAGGAGCGAAAGUGUGGGGGAGCGAACAGG
rnacentral:rRNA from 1 species